CUGGCGGCGUGCCUAAUACAUGCAAGUCGAACGAGGUGCCUUUGUAGACAAUACGAGGGUAUCCUAGUGGCGAACGGGUGAGUAACGCGUUGGUGACCUGCCCCCGAAGUGUGGGAUAACAGUCCGAAAGGGCUGCUAAUACCGCAUGCGGUCAUCGGGUUUAGAAGCCGAUGACCAAAGCAGCAAUGCGCUUUGGGAGGGACCUGCGUCCCAUCAGCUAGUUGGUAGGGUAACGGCCUACCAAGGCUACGACGGGUAGGGGACCUGAGAGGGUGACCCCCCACAAUGGAACUGAAAUACGGUCCAUACACCUACGGGUGGCAGCAGUAGGGAAUAUUGCACAAUGGGCGAAAGCCUGAUGCAGCAAAACCGCCGCGUGCACGAUGAAGGUCUUCGGAUCGUAAAGUGCUUUUCUGGGAGAUGAGAAUGGACAGUAUCCCAGGAAUAAGUCUCGGCUAACUACGUGCCAGCCGCCGC
rnacentral:rRNA from 1 species